CAGAACAUCCAUCCAGUCCUGCACACUCUCCCAUCCGCCCUCUCGCUCCAAAAUGUGUCCCAGCUGAACCUUAUCCAGUUUAAAAGAAGAAACUUCACCCACCUGAAAGGAUAAAUCCUGGAUAAGGACGUCACCAUUAGGGGUCACCAGAGGAACGUGUUCAAACCUGAGAACGUAAACAUCAUUCAUUAUAUGCUAACGUUAUUUGUUAAACCAUGUUUAGCUCUCACAGUUUUAUUAUAAUCACCGGCAAAAAACCCACACAGUCCUUCGUUAUGCCACUUCUUUUUCCCAGACAGUGGCGGAUUCUCACAUUAAGCUUUAAGAUGUAUGGAGAAACACACUACACUCUCUGUAUUCCUCCACCACUACUCCUGAUACCUCAACCAGCCAGCAGGAGGCGCUGCUUCUGCCUUCCAAUAAUUAUACACAAUUAAUAGAUUCUGCAGAGCGCCUGACCACCUGCAGUGGUGGACUAUUGUAUUCCACAGCUGCACCACCUUAUUAUGGUCAGAAAAAUAUGCUGGGUGUUCAUAAUGUGACUGUGGGGAUGCGUGACUUCAGUGUGUGAGAUACCAAUCCAACAGUUUUAAACUCAGACGUUUGUUCUGAAGGUUUAAGAGUUUUGGUGAAAAUAAAGGAGAGUCUGCGUGGAUUCACCUGAUGAUAUUAUCUGCUAUCAGAAUUUCUCCCCCUCCAGGAAGCAGAUCUGAUUUCUGCUCGUCCUCUGAAUCUGAAAACGGUGACACAGAAAACCAUUUUUACAUUUCUCAGACUAAAAUAUGGUUCAUUAUUAAACACACACACACACACACACACACACACAGAACUCCAGUAACAACCACAACACAUUUUUAUCAGAACCGAUAAAAUCUAAUCACCAAAUUAACAAAAUAAUAAAACUGGAGAAACGAUGAAACUGAAGCUGCAGCCUGAAGCGACUCAGGAACAGAAAAAACAGGCGACUGAAAUCUGCUGAAAUCAAACCAGCUCUGUUUAACUGAGUUUAAUAAACUGAUAAUUAAAUAAACACA